GAUUGCAAUGAACAAGGGCGUAUGGCGGAUGCCUCGACACCAAAAGACGAUGAAGGACGUAGGAGCCUGCGAUAAGCCUCGGGGAGGUGGCAACCAACCUCUGAUCCGGGGAUGUCCGAAUGGGGAAACCCGUCUGUGUAUAAAAUCACAGUCAUCUAUAUCUGAAAUAACAUAGGAUAUAAGAAGUGUACCCGGCGAAUUGAAACAUCUUAGUAGCCGGAGGAAAAUAAAACAAUUGUCUCUGUUAAAACUUCGAACAUAAGUACAGGCUUUGCUUGUACCUCGGAGUUUUUUCAAAGGCGCAUUCCCUUAGUAGUGGCGAGCGAAACGGGAACAGCCUAAAGUCUUAUUACGUAACCAUAUACCUAUUUAUAGGUAUGCGGGGGAGAAGCGCAAGCUGCUGCAAUAAGGUCGUUGUGAGAGAAUUAUAAUUGAUAACUUGCGAAUAUCGAGCAGAAAGCUCUAACGGGAUUCCUACAACCACGUUUAUGCUUGAAGAAAAGGCAUAAGCGCGGAAAAGGGAUUCUUACAUUUUUAGCUGAAGGCUCUGGAAAGAGCCGCCAAAGAGGGCGAUAGCCCCGUAAGCGAAAAAAAUGUAAGCUCUGCAUAAUUCUUCUCAAGUACCAUGGAACACGUGAAAUUCUAUGGGAAUCCGGGACGACUAUUGUCCCAAGGCUAAAUACUUUUGGUGAUCGAUAGUGAACAAGUACCGUGAGGGAAAGGUGAAAAGCACCCCGGUGAGGGGGAUGAAAUAGUAUCUGAAACCAUAUGCCUACAAUUAGUCGGAGCUCCUUAUGGAGUGACGGCGUGCCUAUUGAAGAAUGAACCAACGAGUUAGUCAGGAUAGUUUAUCUAAGCCCGCUAAGGGCGAAGGUAUAGUGAAAGCGAGCGUUAAACGCGCGUCUUAUGACUUUUCUGACUAGACCCGAAGCCAGGUGACCUACCUAUGGCCAGGAUGAACUCUUGAGAAAUCAAGAGGGAGGUCCGCACCCACUCGCUGUGCAACACGAGGGGAUGAGCUGUGGGUAGAGGUGAAAUGCCAAUCGAACCUGGCAAUAUCUGGUUCUCCUCGAAAUAGCUUUAGGGCUAGCCUGCAUAUGGCACCCAGGGGUAGAGCACUGAAUGGAUACGGAUGGCUUUAGCCUACCGCAUCCAACCAAACUCCGAAUACUGGUCGUGCUAUAUAUGCAGAGUCAGACUGUGGGGUCUAAGCUUCACUAGUCGAAAGGGAAACAGCCCAUGACCGCCAAAUAAGGUCCCUAAAUCUAGGUUAAGUGUUAAAGGUAGUGAGGUGACUUGGACAACCAGGAGGUUGGCUUAGAAGCAGCCAUCCUUUAAAGAAAGCGUAACAGCUCACUGGUCAAGUUAUUUUGCGCCGAAAAUUUACCGGGGCUAAACCUAGUACCGAAUUUGCGGAUCUCACACUCCUUUUAGGAGUGUGGGGUGGUAGAGGAGCGUUUUUACACCGUCGAAGUCGGAUCGUGAGGUCUGGUGGAGGUGUAAGAAGUGAGAAUGUUGGUAUAAGUAACAAAAAUGGAGGUAAAAACCCUCCACACCGUAAGCCUAAGGUUUCCUGGGCAACGAAAAUCGUCCCAGGGUUAGUCGGUCCUAAGGUGAGGCUGAAAAGCGUAGCCGAUGGACAGCUGGUCAAUAUUCCAGCACCGUCUUUAGAAUUACUUCUACUGACGCAUCAAGUAAAUCCGAACGUAUUCUGAUUACAUGCGUCGUUUCCACCCCUCUUUUUCUCCCCUUCUCAUUAUUUUAAGGGGAGACAAAAGAGGGGUGGCGACGGCAGGCCUAAGCGUAAGCCUAAGCCAAUUCGGAUCCAGGGGGUGCCAAGAAAAGGUAGAUGCACUAUUCUUUGGAUGACCGUACCGUAAACCAACACAGGUAGGCGGGCACGUAAUGUGCUCAGGUGAUCGAGAUAACCCUCGUUUAGGAACUAGGCAAAACAGUGGUCGUACCUUCGGUAUAUGACCCACCCUCACCUUUCUGGAUAUAAGCAAGUGUAAAUGUUAUAUAUAAUCUUGUAACCAGAAAGGUGAGGGUCGCAGCGAAUGACCUCAAGCGACUGUUUACCAAAAACACAGGUCCCUGCUAAAUCGCAAGAUGAUGUAUAGGGGCUGAUGCCUGGCCAGUGUCAGAACGUUAAGGUAAGGGGUGCAAGCUCCGAACCGAAGCGCUGACGAACGCCGGCGGUAACUAUAACCGUCCUAAGGUAGCGAAAUUCCUUGUCGGGUAAGUUCCGACCUGCACGAAUGGCAUAACGACUUGAGGACUGUCUCAACGAGGGACUCGGUGAAAUUACAAGACUCGUGAAGAUGCGAGUUACCCGCGGCUAGACGAAAAGACCCCGUGAAGCUUUACUACAACUUGGCAUUGAAAUAGAGUUGGGUUUGCUUAGCAUACGUGGGAGACUUUGAUCACCGCCUUCCGGGGCGGUAGGAGUCAAAAUAUGAAAUACCACGCUAAUUUAAUUUUAUUUCUAACCCUGCGCCGUAAAUCCGGUGCGGAAACAGUGUCUGGUGGGUAGUUUAACUGGGGCGGUUGCCUCCUAAAGAGUAACGGAGGCGUUUACAAAGGUUGGCUAGUCGCCGAUGGAAACGGCGACGAUAGGGCAAAGCCAUAAGCCAGCUUUACUGCGAGACCAACAAGUCAAGCAGUUGCGAAAGCAGAACUUAGUGAUCCGACGAUCCAUUAUAGGAUGGUCGAAGCUCAACGGAUAAAAGCUACUCCGGGGAUAACAGGCUGAUCCCUUCCAAGAGUUCAUAUCGACGAAGGGGUUUGGCACCUCGAUGUCGGCUCAUCGCAUCCUGGGGCUGAAGAAGGUCCCAAGGGUUUGGCUGUUCGCCAAUUAAAGCGGUACGCGAGCUGGGUUCAGAACGUCGUGAGACAGUUCGGUCUCCUAUCUGCCGUGGGCGUUUGAGAUUUGAGAAGAUUCUUCCCUAGUACGAGAGGACCGGAAAGAACGAACCUCUAGUCAACGAGCUGUCCUGUCUGGGGCAAAAGCUCGGUAGCUACGUUCGGUUUGGAUAAGCGCUGAAAGCAUCUAAGCGCGAAGCCGUCUUCAAGAUUAGAUCUCAUUAUGAGCUUCCUGGGAGACUACCAGGUUGAUAGGCUCUACGUGUAAGUCCGGUAACGGAUUCAGCGGAGGAGUACUAAUCAAGCCACAUUGCAAUCAC
rnacentral:rRNA from 1 species